rnacentral:rRNA from 1 species
CCUACGGGAGGCAGCAGUGAGGAAUAUUGGUCAAUGGACGAGAGCCUGAACCAGCCAAGUCGCGUGAAGGAUGACUGCCCUACGGGUUGUAAACUUCUUUUAUCAAGGAACAAAACGAGGCACGUGUGCCCUUAUGCAUGUACUUUAUGAAUAAGGAUCGGCUAACUCCGUGCCAGCAGCCGCGGUAAUACGGAGGUGGCAAGCGUUGACCGGAUUUACUGGGUGUAAAGGGCGUGCAGCCGGGAGGACAAGUCAGAUGUGAAAUCCCGCGGCUCAACCGCAGAACUGCAUUUGAAACUGUUGUUCUUGAGUACCGGAGAGGUCAUCGGAAUUCCUGGUGUAGCGGUGAAAUGCGUAGAUAUGAGGAAGAACAGCAGUGGCGAAGGCGGAUGACUGGACGGCAACUGACGGUGAGGCGCGAAAGCGUGGGGAGCAAACAGGAUUAGAUACCCGAGUAGUC